rnacentral:rRNA from 1 species
UACGGGGGGGGCAAGCGUUGUUCGGAAUUACUGGGCGUAAAGGGCUCGUAGGCGGCCAACUAAGUCAGACGUGAAAUCCCCAGGCUCAACCUGGGAACUGCGUCUGAUACUGGAUGGCUUGAAUCCGGGAGAGGGAUGCAGAAUUCCUGGUGUAGCGGUGAAAUUCGUAGAUAUCGGGAGGAACACCGGUGGCGAAGGCGACCCGCUGGCCAGUAACUGACGCUGAGACGCGAAAGCGUGGGGAGCAAACAGG